ACCAUGUUACCCCCCCCCCCCUCUCUCUCUCUCUCUCUCUCUCUCUUUCUCUCUUCAUUGUCUUCAUCAACGAAAGCAGUAAGUUUGCAGGUGAAGAACCUUUUUGCCAGGUUGUGUUCAACCAUUUGAGGCAAAGGCAUUAAAUGCCUUCAUCUUCUUUCCUCUCCGCUACCGUGAAACCACCAUGGAAAUGUUGUGGGUGAAGGAGUUUGAAGAAUCUUCAAAUCCAAUACUCGAUUUAGGCAGCACACGAGAAAGCCUUAGGCCACUUGGGCCGUCUCUUGCAUUAAACCUUGUUGGGCUAGAGGUGAAACCUCAUUCUUUUAUCGAGUCUGAGGAGAAUAAACAAGGGAAGCAAAUAUAUUGAAGGCCCAAUCAUGGGUGAAAAUGGUUAUUGGUGGGCUUUGAUAGAACCACCAAACAAAAUUCUCAUCCCUCUAUCUCCCUUUAUUUAUAUGUAUAUUUGUGUUGUAUAUGUAAAUAAAUCUGUAGUAUAUUGUAACCUAUGCUAGAACUUAGGAAAAACACAUAGUAUUAGGAAAUCGUCAAACUAUUUUCAAAUUCGGAUAAUGAUCAACCUUUUGUUUUGCGAAAAUCAAAA